rnacentral:rRNA from 1 species
AGGACGAACGCUGGCGGCGUGCUUCACACAUGCAAGUCGAACGAGGUAGCAAUACCUAGUGGCGGACGGGUGAGUAACGCGUAGGAAUCUGCCUUGAGGUGGGGGAUAAUUAAUCGAAAGAUUAGCUAAUACCGCAUAUGUGCACAGCAAUGUGCAUGAAAGGAGCAAUCCGCCUUUAGAUGAGCCUGCGUCCGAUUAGCUAGUUGGUAGGGUAAAAGCCUACCAAGGCUACGAUCGGUAGCUGGUCUGAGAGGAUGAUCAGCCACAAUGGAACUGAGACACGGUCCAUACUCCUACGGGAGGCAGC